CGACAGAAGGCAUCUGUGUGCUCAUAAAGGGUUGAAAUGAGUCGGGAAAUCCUUAUUCUUGAGUAUGGCUCCAUGCAGAACUGUGACGGCAAAAGACUUGUCGCAUCUGUCAACAUCGGGUACCACCACCUAGUAUCCGAAGUUGAUCUGUUGCAUUACAUAUGAUGAUCAAAAUGGCUACCGCCUACAUCCAAGCAUCUGCAAAGUCUGCCUCUGACACUAGCAUGAAGGACUUCAUUUAUUGCUGGAAUAGCCCAAUCAGCACUACAUGUAGCAGUAGCAUUGUUUUGUGUGCAAUAUUUCAAUAUGUAGAUGAUAUUAAAAAAAUUUCAAAACAAAAGUUUGUUUUUUACAGUUCUAUCCAAUUACGUUUUCAUUGGAGAUUUCGGGGUUGACCCCUGGUGUCUACUUCCAGUGGGC
rnacentral:lncRNA from 1 species